CCUACGGGUGGCAGCAGUGGGGGAUAUUGCACAAUGGGGGAAACCCUGAUGCAGCGACGCCGCGUGGGCGAAGAAGUAUUUCGGUAUGUAAAGCUCUAUCAGCAGGGAAGAAGAAAUGACGGUACCUGAGUAAGAAGCACCGGCUAAAUACGUUCCAGCAGCCGCGGUAAUACGUAUGGUGCAAGCGUUAUCCGGAUUUACUGGGUGGAAAGGGAGCGCAGGCGGCACGGCAAGCCUGAUGUGAAAGCCCGGGGCCCAACCGCGGGACUGCAUUGGGAACUACCGGGCUGGAGUGCCGGAGAGGUAGGCGGAAUUCCUAGUGUAGCGGUGAAAGGCGUAGAUAUUAGGAGGAACACCAGUGGCGAAGGCGGCCUACUGGACGGUGACUGACGCUGAGGCUCGAAAGCGUGGGGAGCAAACAGGAUUAGAUACCCGAGUAGUC
rnacentral:rRNA from 1 species